rnacentral:lncRNA from 1 species
UAAAGGUUGGCCUUGACCCAGUGGAAUUAGUGUCCUUAUAGGAAGAGACAAAAGUGAGCUGUGUGAGGAGAUGGUAUGUUAAUUAGCUUGAACUGGUGCAUGUUCUUCUCUCAUUCUCAUUUUCUCUACUGUGAGAAGGCAACUGUCAGCAAGCCAGGAAGAGAGCCCCUACCAGGAAUAGAAUUGGCCAACACCCUGAUCUUCAACUUCCCAGCCUCCAGGAUUUUGCCCUUGCCUGAGGAGACUGGUCCAAAAAAAUAUUGCUGAUAUUGAUGUCACAGAACUGACUGCCUCUGUUUUCUUCUGGGACUUUUAGGAAUAAAUUUAACCAAGUACUCUGAGAACUGUAAGACAUUGAUAAAGAAGUAAGUUUCAUUGAUGAAAGAAACUGAAGACAACACAAAUAAAUGGAAAGAUUCUAUGCUCAUGGACUGGAGGAAUUAAUAUUGUUAAAAUGUCCAAACCACCCAAAACAACCUACAGAUUCAAUGUAAUUUCCAUUGAAAUACCAAUGGCAUUUUUCACAGAAUAUGAAAUUCUUUAUUUUAGAGUAAAGAAUAAAGAAUCCUAAAAUUUGUAAGGAACUGCA